UGUUCCUCCUCAAAAGCUCAUUUACUUUCCUGUUAAGGAAACGCACCCGUGGCGAAAGCCAAACGUGGAAAGGUUUUUACAUCCUGGACCUGAAUUUGACACCUCUGAAAAUAAAUGAUCCAAGAAGCUAUUUGGCGUUCCUGAAGCUAUAUUCACCUCUGAGGCAAAUACACAAUGUUGUCAUCAACAAGGGUUAUUGCGAUGGAUCCAAAUUUAUACCGAAGGCCAAAUUUAUAUCAUCUACUAACCUAUGUGUCCCACACAUGCUGCACACCCCUAAUGGUCAUCAGGAAUAAAUGAUGACCAUCUGACCAGUACACUUUGUUCAUGUGCAGCAGUGGGGAAACAAUUACAAGUUUUAUUGUAGUCAUCUUGUUGAUUUCGAUUGUGCAAAGUGGCAGUUAUCAUGAAUAACAAGCAAGUGAAGCCAUCGCAUCGAUCAUGAUACGUAGAUUAUGCGCUAUAAAUUACUUAAAUGACAUUUUCAUUUGGGCUAACUGUACGACAAAACAAUCACAAAUAUUUGGCGGCAUCCAGUUUCAUUAAUCUCACCAUUCAGUGCAAUCCCAUGCUUGUUACAGUAGCAAAAAUAAAGAUAAACUUUGUUUCAAAGUCUGAUUUGCUGGGUAAAAGCCUCAUUUUGUUUGUCUUGCAGAUGACGGCCAUCAGGCUCACUCAGAAGAGGCUUCCUCCCCAGGGAACCGGUUUCAGAUGGUGUUUUAGAGUAUAAAAUCCUAUCUAGCACCAUUUGAAAUCGGUGUUCUUGAGUAGGAACACACUUCAGGGGACACCAACAGCAAAGGUGCCUCAUUCAAGAAAUUGUCCAGACUCUCCAAGGAUGACCGUUUUCCUCUGGUGUUCAGAGUUGCCAUCAUGUCUAGCACCAUUUGAAAUCGGUUACAAUGGAGAGGGAAGCUCCACGCAGCUUUGUUGUUGCGCUGCCCUACACCGCCAGCAGGUGGCAAACGUGUCACAUCAUGCAGGGCUGCCCAACGGUCCCUGGGGGUGCUUGGAGCCUAUCCCAGCUGUCUUUGGCAAUCGGUUGGGGACACCCUGAACUGUUUGCCAGCCAAUCGCAGGGCACACAUAGACGAACAACCAUCCACGCUCCAACUCUCACAUAGGGACAAUUUGGAGUGUUCAAUAAGCCUGCCAUGCAUGUUUUUGGAAUAUGUGAGGAAACCGGAGUACCCGGAGAAAACCCACGCAAGCACGGGGAGAACAUGCAAACUCCAACACAGGACGGCCAGAGCUGGAAUUGAAUGUUGCGGAGCAUGUUGGAGCCUAUCCCAGCUGUCUUCGAGCAGUAGGCGGGGGACAGACAUCCUGAACCGGUUGCCAGCCUAUCACAGGGGUAACAGAGAAGAACAACCAUCCGCACUCCCACUCACACCGAGGGACAAUUUAAAGUGUUCAAUCAGCCUUCCAUGCAUGUUUUUGGAAUAUGAGAGGAAACUGGAGUACCUGUGAAAAAACCCACGCAGGCACGGGGAGAACAUGCAAACUCCACACGAGAAGACCAGAACUGGAAUCGAACCCACGACCUCUGCACUGUGAGCACUCGACCACUGGGCCGCCCCCUAACGACAUAUCACAUAUGUAACUAAUCUCCACCGAUGAUCGCACGUGUACUCCACCAAAUCAAAUGUCUGUCGUGGACCAAAGAUGAGUUUGAGGCAUAUAACAGGUUUAACAUUUACGAUGACCGUUUUCUGAUCAGGUUCGGGAGGAAGACUGACAACACUCACUCAUGAGAAUCUUACGAUCAGGCGAUGUCACUUUGACCCAGUAGGCGGAUACUCAAAUACGGCCCAAUUAUAAGGAUGUGUGUACCUCGGUCGGUCGAGGAUGAGCCAGUAGAAGUUACCAUUCUGAAACGCGGAUUUGAGGGAUGCUUAUUAAAAAACGCAUAAAUAUUUAAAAUUAACAUCUGCUCCUGUUAUUACAACACCUAGGCCUUUUUUGUCUUGCAUUUAAAGACACAGUACAUCUUCAUAAUCCCAAAAGUUUACAAGCAGUUUCAAGUCCUUUUGAUGCAAAUAUUUAUUCCGUUUUUUUCCCCCUUUACCUCACAGAAUGUGGUGUGAUGUUUACUAAACCGAGACGUUAGGAUCGUGCGAUGGAAUUUCAUCUUGUUUACCUUUGGUUUAAACGCAUCAUUCCUGUGGAUGGAAAUGAAACAUCACAAAAGUGGGUGGCUGCUUGUCGGCAUUAAUUCUAUCGGUCACAUAUUUGAACAAUAUUACAUUUGAGGUAGGAUGGCACGAGGAGAACCUGCAAACUCCACACGGGGUGGCUGGAAUCGAACCCUGCGCCACUGCACUGUGACCACUGGACAACGGGUCACCUGUUUGUUAUGUUUAAGAACUUGGUCCUAAAGUCUCUUCAUGCCACGGGAAAAAUGCUAUUCAAUGUAUUGAUUGAAAAAGCAGACGAAAAGACUGUAUGACUAUAAUUAUUCGCUGAGAACUAUGAGAGAGAGAGAGAGAGACAGGGAGAGAGGGGAGGGACCACAGACAGGUACCAGACAAUUAACGCAAACUAACCAAACUGCUAAAUGCAAAUGACUCAGUCUAAAAAAAAAUGAGAUUUACGAUUCAGCUGGGACAAUCCAUUCAAAGUGUUUUAGCACUGCGAUAAACAUGAAUAACGACUCUUAUUCCUCAUGUAAGUGGAAUCAGAGUCAUCACAGUCAGCACAUGCUGAAUUCACAUUUCCAUGAAAGUGACGAACAAAUUGGCCUUAACGUUUUCCUGUCCUUGACAAACAGGAUGCAGACUGUAAUUAAAAGAAAAAUCUGGCCAGGUGACGAGUAACAUAAAUCUGUUUCUGGAUUUAUGUGGUCCUUUCAUUUUGUGCUUAAGUGUGUAAAAUAUGUACAUACGAGGGGAUACCUCUUGUUUUGCAGGAACAAUAUUUGAACGGGGUACACACAACUCCGAAAAAUUUCCCUUUUUUUUUUUGCCGGUCCUAAUCUGCUCAGAAAAUGGUCCAUAAUCUUCCAUUUUAAACCUCUUCAACAUUUUACGAUCUCAAGUCUUCAUGUGUGGUCAACGCAGUUCACUGCCUCAGGAAUUGUGACAUCAAAUGGAACAAUAGCCAAAUAAUAAAUGACCUGAAGGGUCGAGUACUUUUGUGUCUCACAAGUCAUUCACCACAAAUGUCAAA